rnacentral:rRNA from 1 species
AUUGAACGCUGGCGGCAGGCCUAACACAUGCAAGUCGAGCGGAUGAAGGGAGCUUGCUCCUGGAUUCAGCGGAGGACGGGUGAGUAAUGCCUAGGAAUCUGCCUGGUAGUGGGGGAUAACGUCCGGAAACGGGCGCUAAUACCGCAUACGUCCUGAGGGAGAAAGUGGGGGAUCUUCGGACCUCACGCUAUCAGAUGAGCCUAGGUCGGAUUAGCUAGUUGGUGGGGUAAAGGCCUACCAAGGCGACGAUCCGUAACUGGUCUGAGAGGAUGAUCAGUCACUCUGGGACUGAGACACGGUCCAGACUCCUACGGGAGGCAGCAGUGGGGAAGAUUGGACGAUGGGCGAAAGCCUGAUCCAGCCAUGCCGCGUGUGUGCAGAAGGUCUUCGGAUUGUAAAGCACUUUAAGUUGGGAGGAAGGGCAGUAAGAGAAUACCUUGCUGUGUUGACGGUACCAACAGAAGAAGCACCGGCUAACUUCGUG